rnacentral:rRNA from 1 species
UACGUAGGGGGCAAGCGUUGUCCGGAUUUACUGGCGUAAAGGCGCGUAGGCGGCGCAACAGUCACUUGUGAAUCUCGGCUACCGAGCGUCAGUGAUACUGUCGUGCUAGAGUGCGAGGCUACUGGAUCUCGUGUAGCGUGAAUGCGUAGAUAUCUGAGACACGUGCGAGCGCAUCUGACGAUGACACUGAGCGCGAAGCCAGAGCAACGG